rnacentral:lncRNA from 1 species
AAAAUAAAAAAAUCUACAUAAGGAAAUUUUUCUAAAUUAAUAUCUCUAUAAAUUAAUAAAAUUUCAAAAUCCCGACAUUAUUAAUUUAUAGAGGUUCUACUGUAUGUUACAAGUAGUUGAUAAUUAUAUGUAAUAGAGUUAGAAAUUAUACGAUGAUGUAAUGUGUGCUACACAAUUAAAAAAAAAAACAAUUUCCCUAGAGUUCUAAACAUAGUUUUAAAUUACUAUAGUCGAUAAAAAAAC